rnacentral:tRNA from 1 species
GGGCAUAUAGCUCAGUCGGCAGAGCGCUACGCUCACAUCGUAGAGGUCCCUGGUUCGAGUCCAGGUAUGCCCACCA